GGGGAAUUAGCUCAGUUGGUAGAGCGUCUGCCUUGCACGUAGAAGGUCAAGAGUUCAAAUCUCUUAUUCUCCACCA
rnacentral:tRNA from 1 species